ensembl:lncRNA
CCAGAAUAUUGGACAAGAACAAGCAUGUAGUGAAAACCUAAGUACCAGGUAUUAGGAAGCUACAAAAUUGUCUGCUUCUGGAGGCACUCACUGUCUAACAAGGAGAGUAAAAGACCAUAAUUGGGUGACAGAAAGAGCUGAGGGCCUGGCUAUUUGGAAAAUCAGUUGGAAAAAAAAGUCAUAGAGGUCACCUUUAGCAGGGCUGAUGGCUAAUAAAGCCUCAAAAACCAGGCUUUUACCCUGAGUGGCAGGAAAGACCUGUUCUAACAGAGUCCUGGCUGUCUAUACUCAUUCCUUCUGCCUGGAAUUCUCCCCUCACCUCUUCAUCAUCUUUCAGUCAGUUUGAUGCCACCUUCCCCCACGAUGCCCAGCUUAACCAAGCAUUUUUUUUUUUUUUUUUUUUUUGGUACCGGGGAUCAAACUCGGAUUCUUGUGCUGGCACAGCAGGUGGUGAAACCAUUGAGCUAAAUCCCCAGCUAAUCAAGCAUUUCUUUGGUACACUGUAAAGUAGCUCCUUGAAGACAGCGCCUGUGUCCUGUUCUUUAUGUGCAAAUCCUCAAGAGAACAAGAUGAGAAAAUGUGUAGCAAAGACUAGAUGUCACCUCUUCCUUCUUGGCUCUUACAGAACAAGCGGUGCCCCUUAUUCUCUGUACUGUCCACCCAUGCCUGGCCUCGUGUAUCUCUCUAGGUCUGAUACACCCCAGCUCUGACCCUCUCCUAGCCCAGAAUUCCAAUCUGGAGGACCUUGCUGCUCACACAUGUACACGUGUAAGUUUCAGUUUGUGUGCAGAGAAGAGGAGACCAUGGAUGGAUGGCUUAGGAAAGGCACAGUUGAGAGAUGGGCCCGAGUGAGCAAGCGCCUUCUGUGUACACUGUCCUCCACUGUAACAAAGCCUCCUGGGUGGAGAGUGCAGUGCUCCUUGGCCUUCUUGGGUCACCUCUGUUCAGGAGUCUUAGCAUUUACAUAGUUACUUAGGCUUUAUUUGGAUAGGGGGUAGAAACAGGCAAAGUUAGAACUGCAGCUGGCUCUUUGACUCACAGGAUCAAGUGGCCAAACAGAAUGCAAAGUUACUAGAAAGAGGUAAGCCUUGUGAUGAUUGGUACAUACAGGGCAGAAGGUGGGGCCACACACACAAAUGGGGCUCAGGCUUUGUUGGAAUUGAGGGUAGAAACAGAGUAAAUUAGGACAGCAACUGGCUCCUUAGUCCCAAAAGGGCUGGCCAAACACACAAUGGAGAAGUCUUGGUGAGACCUCUCUUCCCCUCGUCCUGGCCUGUCUAGCUUUGCUCUUGUCCCCUGGACCUGAUGACUCUCAAGUCAGGAGCAAAACUGCUUUGAAACAGCUGCCCCAAAAUGUGAGGUUUAAAAAAAAAAAAAAAAAAAAUGUGAGGUUUUGCUGACAGCAUGAAGGGACUGGAACAUAGAGAGGGAGGGGGCCAGGAGCCCCAGAAGGAAGCCUCCUGAGGUCCCCAAGCAGCAGCAGCAAGUUCACCAUCUCUGCUGCUAACCUACUCAGUGGGGAAGGGUAACACCAAGGCCCACAGCUCACCUGAAUCUCUGGAAGGCCGGGCCUGGAGCUGCUGCAGGCUCUCAUUGGUGAAAGGCCGGUUGAUCACUUCCUUGGACCUAGCAGCGAAAUUGAGUGCAGAGACUGUGUCUAGGUAGAAGCGUCUCUCCGGGAGCAAUGUUGGCGAUGAGGAUGCUGUGGGCUGAGCCACCCAGAGAGUCCUGAGGGGGUGGAGAUUGGAGUGGGUGAGUCAGAACCCCCAGCUUUCCCUUUCCUUAACUGCUA